CUUGCUCUCACUCUCUCUGCCCUGAGGUCUUCUUUCUCUGCUCAGCUGUAUCCUGCUUCUUGGUAGGAGAGAGCUUCUAUGUUUGGGGAUCCAGAAUGCCUCCAUGUGCCACCAAUCCAGGCCCCAAACUCUACUAGGAUAGAAGCUCCUUUAUUUGGGAACUUGCCCUAUGCCUCUCUUCAUCUGGCUGUUAACUUGUAUCCUUUGUGAUAUCCUUUAUGAAACUGGUGUUUUCCUGAGUUCUGUGAGCUGCUCUAGCAAAUUAAUCAUACCUAACGGAGAGGUCGUGGGAACCUCUAAUCUGUAGCUGAUAGCAUCAGAAUUGAGUUGAGUUCCCCAAAGCCCUGCUGGUGCUCAAGAAUUGAGUGGUGCUGGAGGCACUGGAGGGAGAAGGGCGAGGACAAUGCAGGUGGAGCAGAGACGGCACCAAGUAGCUCUGUGCCAUAUGGGGAAGGAACGGACAGCUCUUCCUGGAUUCCAGUCCCAUGAUGUGCUGACAAACCCCAGAUGCAGACCCCCUCCAUCCGGAAGGAGGAGACCUCUGGCUGUCCAUCGCCCAACCCUGAGUCAAUAAAAAAUUCCCCACAUUCCCCUGGCACAGCCCACUUCUCCCUCCCCUCCCUGUGCUUAUAAAAACUCCCCACCUAUCUGGUUACUCGUGACUUCCCCAGCCUCCGUUUCCGUAGACUGGGGAACAUCGCCCAGGAAUUACGUUCAAAUAAACUGCCUGGCCCUUUGUUGCCUCUUGUCGCCUACUUAUUUUGGCUAGAAUUAAUCUUACAAUAAAUAUGUGUAAAGAAAAAAUAUACCAUCUCAUUUGGUGUCCAAGAUGUACACACACACUCUCUUUAUUAAAAUUAAUACAAA